AUCCUAGGGAGGCAGCAGUGGGGAAUAUUGCACAAUGGGGGAAACCCUGAUGCAGCGACGCCGCGUGAGCGAUGAAGUAUUUCGGUAUGUAAAGCUCUGUCAGCAGGGAAGAAAAUGACGGUACCUGACUAAGAAGCCCCGGCUAACUACGUGCCAGCAGCCGCGGUAAUACGUAGGGGGCAAGCGUUAUCCGGAUUUACUGGGUGUAAAGGGAGCGUAGACGGUCCUGCAAGCAAGAUGUGAAAGCCCGGGGCUCAACCCCGGGACUGCAUUUGGAACUGUAAGGCUAGAGGGUCGGAGAGGCG
rnacentral:rRNA from 1 species